GCUUUAUAUUGUUAUUAAUUUUAUUUAUGUGGUAGUAAUUGAAUAAGGUUAUAAACAGUAUUUUGUUGGGGUGACAGGAAGAUAUAAAAAACUCUUUUUAGAAGUUUAUCAUUGAUGUGUGAAUUAUUGAUCCGUUAUUGACGAUUAUAAGACUAAGU
rnacentral:rRNA from 1 species